UUNCUUAAUAAUGCCUUUAGAUUGUUGUCAA
rnacentral:piRNA from 1 species